AACUUGGGGGCUCCUCCCACUCUAUCCCUCCCUGAAGACAGCCCUCGCCACAGCUCCCGAGCCAGCCACCACGUCCCUGCAUACUUGAACAUCACCUGUGCUACCAGAAGUCACCACAGCUUUGGGGCACAACCUGAAGACCCUCACAGUCACCUUCCCCAACUCCACCCUCUGGUAUUCAUCAAACAGGAGCAAUGGCUCAGCCACGUUCAACUACAUUGAGAGGGUCCUGCAGAGCCUGCUGGAUCCUUGUUCAAGAGGAGCAGCCUGGGUCCCUUCUACUCGAGUUCCAGACUGGUCUCC